GCCUUAGUGGUGUAGUAGUCAGCACACUCGACGCAUAUUCGAGAGGUUCGUGGUUCGAAUCCCGGCGAGGACA
rnacentral:tRNA from 1 species